GACGUAGGGCGCGAGCGUUGUCCGGAUUUAUUGGGCGUAAAGAGCUCGUAGGCGGCUUGUCGCGUCGAAUGUGAAAUCCUGCGGCUCAACUGCAGGCUUGCAUUCGAUACGGGCAGGCUCGAGUUCGGUAGGGGAGACUGGAAUUCCUGGUGUAGCGGUGAAAUGCGCAGAUAUCAGGAGGAACACCGGUGGCGAAGGCGGGUCUCUGGGCCGAUACUGACGCUGAGGAGCGAAAGCGUGGGGAGCAAACAGG
rnacentral:rRNA from 1 species